rnacentral:rRNA from 1 species
CCUACGGGAGGCUGCAGUGGGGAAUAUUGGGCAAUGGGCGCAAGCCUGACCCAGCAAUGCCGCGUGAAGGAAGAAGGCUUUCGGGUUGUAAACUUCUUUGACAGGGGAAGAGCAGAAGACGGUACCCUGAAAACAAGCCACGGCUAACUACGUGCCAGCUGCCGCGGUAAUACGUAGGUGGCAAGCGUUGUCCGGAUUUACUGGGUGUAAAGGGCGUGUAGCCGGGAAGGCAAGUCAGAGGUGAAAUCUGGAGGCUCAACCUCCAAAUUGCAUUUGAAACUGGUUUUCUUGAGUACUGGAGAGGCAGACGGAAUUCCAUGUGUAGCGGUGAAAUGCGUAGAUAUAAGGAGGAACACCAGUGGCGAAGGCGGUCUGCUGGACAGCAACUGACGGUGAGGCGCGAAAGCGUGGGGAGCAAACAGGAUUAGAUACCCCUGUAGUC